rnacentral:tmRNA from 1 species
GGGGGCGCACCGGCUUCGACUCAUCGUUGGAAGCGCGGGCGGCAUGUCGAGGAUGGUUCGUUGGCCUCGUAAAAAAUCGAACCAAACAAAUAAACGCAGACUACGAAGGUCUCGCUCUCGCGGCUUAAUUGACCGCGACGUUUUCGCCGUGACGCCUGCUGGCGGCGAAAACGCGGAUAGCAGGCUGGCGAAUCGGCGGAGCGACCGCGCCGGUUCGUGAAUCGAUUCGUGGACGCUCGGGAGCCGGCAGUGCGCCGGCGCAUGGCGCGGCUUCUCAGAAACAAUCGCCGGCUAAACAUGUAGAUGCUUGCGUGGAGAACGAUGAGGACAGGGGUUCGAUUCCCCUCGCCUCCAA